rnacentral:rRNA from 1 species
UGGGGAAUAUUGCACAAUGGGCGCAAGCCUGAUGCAGCCAUGCCGCGUGUGUGAAGAAGGCCUUCGGGUUGUAAAGCACUUUCAGCGAGGAGGAAGGUGGUGAGCUUAAUACGCUCAUCAAUUGACGUUACUCGCAGAAGAAGCACCGGCUAACUCCGUGCCAGCAGCCGCGGUAAUACGGAGGGUGCAAGCGUUAAUCGGAAUUACUGGGCGUAAAGCGCACGCAGGCGGUUUGUUAAGUCAGAUGUGAAAAUCCCCGGGCUCAACCUGGGAACUGCAUUUGAAACUGGCAAGCUAGUAGUCUCGUAGAGGGGGGUAGAAUUCCAGGUGUAGCGGUGAAAUGCGUAGAGAUCUGGAGGAAUACCGGUGGCGAAGGCGGCCCCCUGGACGAAGACUGACGCUCAGGUGCGAAAGCGUGGGGCAGCAAACAGGAUUAGAUACCCUGGUAGUCCA